AGGAUGAACGCUGGCGGUCUGCUUAACACAUGCAAGUCGAACGGGCGUAGCAAUACGUUAGUGGCGGACGGGUGAGUAACGCGUGAGAAUCUACCUUCAGGACGGAGACAACAGUUGGAAACGACUGCUAACCCCCGAUGUACUGAAAAGGCAAAUAUUUAUAGCCUGAAGAAGAGCUCGCGUCCGAUUAGCUAGUUGGAGAGGUAAAAGCUCACCAAGGCGACGAUCGGUAGCUGGUCUGAGAGGACGAUCAGCCACACUGGGACUGAGACACGGCCCAGACUCCUACGGGAGGCAGCAGUGGGGAAUUUUCCGCAAUGGGCGAAAGCCUGACGGAGCAAGACCGCGUGGGGGAAGAAGGCUCUUGGGUUGUAAACCCCUUUUCUCUGGGAAGAAAGUUGUGAAAGCAGCCUGACGGUACCAGAGGAAUCAGCAUCGGCUAACUCCGUGCCAGCAGCCGC
rnacentral:rRNA from 1 species